UUUCUCUUUUUCUUCUUCGUACAGAACUGAGCUCUCUCUCUCUUGAUUCACCCUCCUUCCAUAUCUGAUCUAAUCUCUUUAAUUGCUCUUUUCCGAGUUACUUUACCUGAUUUAGGGGUUCUGCUUCAAAAUUCACUUGAUUGUACCAUUAAGUUUGGAGUACUUUCUAUUCUCUUUUUCGGUUAAUCAUUUGAUCGUUAGGGUUCAAUUAGUAAUGAGUUUGUUUGUUUUCACACAUAGAACGACAUCAAAGAAAUCAAAGACAAGAGAACAGAAUUGCAGGUGCAGGUUAGUGACUUCAAUGGAUUUUCAUGAAACUUGACCUUUAAAUUUCGAAUGGGUUUUCGAUGAUUAACUAAUUUUAAUAAUUAGAUUGACAAUUUUCAAGAAAUUCCUGACACCAUUAUUUGUAAGCUUCAACUUUUUUUGGUUUUCCUAAUAGAAAAAACAUUUUUAAAGUGAAAUUUCGUUGAUAAGUUUACAGCUGCUGAUAUCCUAUUCAAUCUGACAUUGAGGUACCAGUAUUUCUCCACUCUUAUUACAAACCAAAAUUCCAGAUUCAUUAAGUAAGCAAUGUAAUGUGCUUGGAACAUCAUCAAUAGAUCAAUGUACUUGCAAAAAGGUAAUAGUACCCAAUGUCCCAACUUGGUUGAGUUGAAGUUCCCUUGUACCGUCCUUUAGAAAAACGGCCAAUGUAGGAAUCAGUUUGUAAAGAGGUAGUAUAUAACAUUAGCAUUUUAAUAAUCUUUUCCCCCUUCUUAAUGGAUUUCUUACACCUUUACCUUUGUCAAUUGUUGAGCUUCAGUUUUCAAUAUUUUGGUUCUGCGGACUAACUGUUCGAAAAAUUAUAGCAGUUAGAUUAAAUGAGUUACAAGCUCAGGUUCUGUUACAAAUAAAGGGUAUUCAUAGUCCUAGAAUACAAGCUCGGAAAGACAUGAAAGCUGGGAAGAAACAAUAACAACAAAGAUAUGUUCGAUUCAAGAAUGGGCGUAUUUUUGAAAAGGCAAAACGAGCAGCAAUGACGGAAAAUGAAAGACAAAAGCUUCUUCAAAAACGACUCGACGCUUAUCGUAUGCCAACAGCAGCACGAGAUACACAUCCAACAAAAAAUGAGCAUGAAGCAUCAACAAGUUCUGGGGGUCUAUAUUUAAGAUUGGAUUUUGGGGUUCUGCUGCUAAUCACGUUGGUAAUGACCCAAUCGGGCCGACUCCAACCCAGACCGGUGUUGGCAGCUGUAUGCUCCACUUUUGUGAAGAAAUAUCAAGAUGGAUUCACAAGGUAAGAUUCUGGGUUUCCAACCACGUCGAAGUCCAAGAAUUAUCGAAAGGCAAUCUCAACAAGGAGAUGCUCACUUACAGCGGCGUCGUGCUACAUAUGCAAGGCAAUCCCGAAAGCAAAGAGAUUGUCACUUACAGCAGGGCCGUGCUGCAUAUGAAGUAAAACGAAAUUCAAUAGCUGAAGUCGAAACACUAGCACUUCUUGACCAAACUGAGUAAUGCUUAUCGCAUUGAAGGUAAAAGGUACCUUCAUGACACCAUUGAUGUUCCCAGUGGAGGACGACAGCAGGGAUCUACAAGAUGUGAAUGUUAAGAAAUGAACUCUUCCAGUUUAGGCAUCUCGAGCCUUUGGGUAAAUAGCAAAGUGCAUCCAGUGCUGCACUGUUCGAUUGAUAUCAAGUGCGGUGAAAUUUAUUAAGUUCCUUUUGUAUAUCCCAAAGCAUUCUAUACAAAACUGGAAGUCUGUCCCUUAUCAUUUUGCUCAUUAGAAACUGUUUAUGUUUCAAUUUUCAUCAUAAAAUCUUUGUAUGAAGACGGAUACUUAAGAAGCCUACUAGCAAAUAAGUUUUUUAGUUUGUUA